rnacentral:misc_RNA from 1 species
UUUCUGUAGGUGAACCUGCGGAAGGAUCAUUAUUGUAUAACCGAGGUGCGUGGGCUGUCGCUGACCCGAAAGGUCGUGCACGCCCGAGUGCCCUCACACACACCCAUCUCACCCCCAUGUGCACCACCGCGUGGGUCCCCCUUUGGCUUGUUCGGAGGGGGGCUUACGUUUUCACACAAACUUUGUAUGCAGUGUAGAAUGUAUUUUUUGUUUUUGCGAUCACGCAAUCAAUACAACUUUCAACAACGGAUCUCUUGGCUCUC